UACGGGGGGGGCAAGCGUUGUUCGGAAUUACUGGGCGUAAAGGGUUCGUAGGUGGCUUGCUAAGUCAGACGUGAAAUCCCUCAGCUUAACUGGGGAACUGCGUCUGAGACUGGUGAGCUUGAGUGCAGGAGAGGAACGCGGAAUUCCAGGUGUAGCGGUGAAAUGCGUAGAUAUCUGGAGGAACACCGGUGGCGAAAGCGACUGCCUGGCCCAAUACUGACGCUCAUGUGCGAAAGCGUGGGGAGCAAACAGG
rnacentral:rRNA from 1 species